rnacentral:tRNA from 1 species
GGGAUGUAGCUCAGUGGUAGAGUGCUCACCUAGCAUGUGCGAGGCCCUGGGUUCGAUCCCUGGCACUACUCA